rnacentral:rRNA from 1 species
GACGAACGCUGGCGGCGUGCUUAACACAUGCAAGUCGAGCGGUAAGGCCCUUUCGGGGUACGACGAGCGGCGAACGGGUAGGAGUAACAACGUGGGUGGACCUCGCCCUCCAGCUCUGGGAGUAAGACCCGGGAAACCGUAGGGUCGUAAUAACCGGACGUAUGACUCCAUGACGCAUGUUGUGGGGUGGGAAAGACCUU